AAAAGUCUAAUCAAACGCAGAGAUAGCUCGUUCUCUCCGAAAUAGCUUUCGGGCUAGCCUCGAGCAACUAUGUACCGGGGGUAGAGAUACUGAAUCGGCCUGGGGGGUCUUACCACCUACCCUGCUGAACCAAACUCCGAAUACCGGUGCAACUAUCUCGGGAGUCAGUCCACGAGGGAUAAGCUUCGUGGUCAAGAGGGAAACAACCCAGAUCGUCCGUUAAGGUCCCGAAGUAGAUCUUAGUCACUAAGGAAGUAGAAUUGCGGUGACAGCCAGGAUGUUGGCUUAGAAGCAGCCAUCAUUUAAAAAGUGCGUAACAGCUUACUGGUCGAGCAAUUCUGCGCCGAUAAUGAACGGGAGUAAGUUCUACACCGAAACGGCGGAAUGUCAUUUUCUUCGGAAGAUGACUUUGGUAGGAGAGCGCUGUACGUCAGAUACAAGCCGUACUGUAAAGAACGGUGUCGGGGCGUACAGGUGAUUAUGCCGGAAUGAGUAACGAUAAAGCAGGUGAGAAUCCUGCUCGCCGAAAGUCUAAGGUUUCCUGGGGAUGGUAAUUCCGCCCAGGGUUAGCCGGUUCCUAAGACGAGGCCGAAGGGCGUAGUCGAUGGACAGCAGGUUAAUAUUCCUGCGCCACUGAUGUGGACCGAUGGAGGGACGGCACGUGAAGGGUGAGCGGUCGAUCAGAAAUGACCGUGGGCUGUUUCAAGGUGUGGGAUAGGAAAAUCCGCCCACAUAAGCCAAGAAAUGGAACCAACUCCAUAUACGUUGAGUAUGUCAUCGGAAGCGUGUCCAAGAAAAGCUUCUAAGGUUUGAAGCAUCAGUGUCCGUACUAAAACUGACACAGGUAGGCGAGACGAGUAGUCUAAGGCGCUCGGGAGAACACUGGUUAAGGAACUCUGCAAAAUGACCCCGUAAGUUCGCGAUAAGGGGUGCCCUCGGGGGUUAACGCUCUCGGGGGCCACAGUAAAUCGGCUUCAGCGACUGUUUAUCAAAAACACAGGACUCUGCUAACUCGUAAGAGGAUGUAUAGAGUCUGACGCCUGCCCGGUGCCGGUAGGUUAAGGAAGAAGGUUAGCCUCACGGCGAAGCUUGCGACCGAAGCCCCGGUAAACGGCGGCCGUAACUAUGACGGUCCUAAGGUAGCGAAGUUCCUUGUCGGGUAAGUUCCGACCUGCAUGAAAGGCGUAACGACUGAAGCACUGUCUCAACCAGUGACCCGGUGAAAUUGUAGUCGUGGUGAAGAUGCCACGUUCCCGCACUAUGACGGAAAGACCCCGUGAACCUUUACUGUAGGCUGAUAUUGGGCUGUGGUAUGUUUUGUGUAGGAUAGGUGGGAGGCGUUGAUCCCGGCGCGUCAGCGUUCGGGGGAGCCACCGGUGAAAUACCACCCUGAAUAUGCUUUAGUUCUAACCCUGAUUCCA
rnacentral:rRNA from 1 species